CAUCACAUGCCAAUUCAUCACUCAUCCGGAGCCAUGACCAUGGGCAGGCAAGUCAACGAAGGAUGAAUGAGCCCCAUACUCAGCCCUUAUCCAUGCCCCACACUGCAAGACCAAGGAGCGGGAUGGGUGCAAACCUAUAAUCAUCUUUUCCGUACCCCAUGACAGAAAGUACCACAUAAAUGAGAGACUUUUGGGUAGUCGCAAUGGACCCAAGAAGAUCUGUUUGAAUUAUUGGAAAACAGAAGGUGAUCUUUAGCCAAACAUGAAAGGGAGGGGCUCCUCAUCGAGUCCUGACCUAUGAACAGUACUUGGAACAGUACCCGGGUCACCGACAGAUAAACCAAACUCUGCACCACUGAACUUUGUCAUUUCUGCUAAGCACGUUUUCUUUUUCUUACGUGGAGGGCAGUAGAGGGAGGUUGAAUUUCUGCUUCUCUUUGCA
rnacentral:lncRNA from 1 species